rnacentral:misc_RNA from 1 species
GGAAGUAAAAGUCGUAACAGGGUCUCCGUUGGUGAACCAGCGGAGGGAUCAUUACCGAAGUUACCUUCAAAACCCACUGUGAACCUUACCUCUUGCCGCGUUGUCUCGGCGGGAGGCGGUGUGCGUCGCGCGCCCUAGCGGGCCGCGCCGCUCCCGUCCCCGCCGGCAGCGCCAAACUCUAAAUGCACAGCGGACUGUACGUUCUGAUUUACAAAAAAAACAAGUUAAAACUUUCAACAACGGAUCUCUUGGUUCUG